rnacentral:rRNA from 2 species
UAUCAACGGCAUCACGAGGAUCCUACUGUCUCCCCCCUCUAAUCAGUGAAACUGAUCUCCCCGUGAAGAAGCGGGGAUAUACAUAUAAGACGAGAAGACCCCAUGGAGCUUUAAACCUGACAGCACCCGCUCAUUCUAUACCCCAUUAUUUGCCCGACCCCUGUCUGCUCAGUUUUAGGUUGGGGUGACCACGGAGUAUAAAGUAACCUCCAUGAAGAAGGGGAUAUUUCCCUUAUUAGAGAACCACACUUCCAAGAACUAAUAAAUUAAUUUUCAAUGACCCGAUACCCGAUAAUCGAUCAACGAACCAAGUUACCCUGGGGAUAACAGCGCAAUCCACCCUGAAAGCCCUUAUUAACAGGUGGGUUUACGACCUCGAUGUUGGAUCAGGGUAUCCCAGUGGUGCAGCAGCUACUGAGGGUUCGUUUGUUCAACGAUUAAAACCCU